rnacentral:misc_RNA from 1 species
AAACGAAACAAAGCCACCCGUCCAACCGUUCCAUUCAUAUUCUUCUCUUUUGUUUUUUUAUUUUUCUCUCUGUCUGCAAUCCCGUAUCCAGAUUCCAUGGAGGAUUAUAACAGAUCAAGAUCAUAUUCAUAUUCAUAUGGGGCUGGAACGAUGCAGAUGGAGAGUUAUUAUGGUCCACCAAGACCGCCCACCACUUCCUAUGACCUCAGGUCCUACAGUGCCUCCUAUGCACAAUCCCAGAUGGCUAACAACGGCU